UGGAAUGAAAUGUAACACUAAGCCUAGUAUUAAACUUAACACUCCAAAUAACAACUUGCUGGAGUGUCCUGGCAAUAUUUCUAGAGAAAGAAGUCACACCGUUUAUAAAAUGUUUUGACAACGUAUAUGGGUCUUGCUGAGCACCCACUGCCUUGUCCUCUACUAUUAGUUAACACUGAGAUAAUCCCAGCUGUGACGGGUCCCCUGUGCCCCAACUGAGCACACCCAUCCAAACAACUUUUUCCUGCCGCCAAACCAGACCGUUCACAAAGAUUCAGUCAGCUAACACCCCUGCCCCAAGAACAGCAGACACACACAGCUUGAGGGUAUAACAGGAACUAAUUUUUAUUAGACACACCCAGGUAUUUGUACAGAAGUAAAAUCAUUAGUAAACCCACAAGGGUUUGGGACAGCCUAUACAAACAACCAAUCACACUAAGCAUAUUAAUAACCAAUAGAACAUCACAGAACAUCUACUUUGCCUACACAGUAAAACAUUAUACCUCAGGGAAAAGGAUUAACACACAGUCAACAAUAGGCAACUUAUGUAAUUGAGUCACAAAGGGGAAAGCCCCAGCCCCCACCCAUGUGUCCACACAGUCUCUGGUUUGGCACCAUCUUGUCUCUCCAUAUUGUUGCUAGGUCUAAGACUGUGCGCCCCACAUAGCAGCUCCC